rnacentral:snoRNA from 1 species
AGAUUGAUGAUGACCCCCCAAAAAAUGCAUUCCUUGGAAAGCUGAACAAAAUGAGUGAGAACUCAUACUGUCGUCGUUCUCAUCGGAAACUGAGAUCC